rnacentral:tRNA from 1 species
GGGAAUUAGCUCAGUUGGCAGAGCACUUGACUUUUAAUCAAGUUGUCCGGGGUUCGAAUCCCCGAUUC